UACGUAGGGUGCAAGCGUUGUCCGGAAUUAUUGGGCGUAAAGAGCUCGUAGGCGGUUUGUCGCGUCUGCUGUGAAAACUCGGGGCUUAACCCCGGGCCUGCAGUGGGUACGGGCAGACUAGAGUGCGGUAGGGGAGACUGGAAUUCCUGGUGUAGCGGUGAAAUGCGUAGAUAUCAGGAGGAACACCGGUGGUGUAGACGGCUUACUGGACCACGACUGACACUGAGGCACGAAAGCGUGGGUAGCAAACAGG
rnacentral:rRNA from 1 species